UACGGGGGGGGCAAGCGUUGUUCGGAAUUACUGGGCGUAAAGGGCUCGUAGGCGGCCAACUAAGUCCGACGUGAAAUCCCCAGGCUUAACCUGGGAACUGCGUCUGAUACUGGAUGGCUUGAAUUCGGGAGAGGGAUGCAGAAUUCCAGGUGUAGCGGUGAAAUGCGUAGAUAUCUGGAGGAAUACCGGUGGCGAAGGCGGCAUCCUGGACCGACAUUGACGCUGAUGAGCGAAAGCUAGGGGAGCAAACGGG
rnacentral:rRNA from 1 species